UCAUUAACGAAUUACUGGAGAGUUGAUGCUGGCAAUAAACUAAUUGCAAGUGCUCACUGUCUUAAUUUCAUCUGCACCUGUGCACUCUUGUAUACAUGCUUGAAAGGAGCCCAAGUGGCUUGGUUCAGGCAUGUAGACAAAUCUCACAAACUCUUUAUAAUAAAUCCUGAAUGUUCUUUUGCUGCAAGGCAAAAACUUUAUAACAACUUUUAACAACGGAUCUCUUGGCUCUCGCAUCGAUGAAGAACGCAGCGAAAUGCGAUAAGUAAUGUGAAUUGCAGAAUUCAGUGAAUCAUCGAAUCUUUGAACGCACCUUGCGCUCCCUGGUAUUCCGGGGAGCAUGCCUGUUCGAGUGUCAUUACACUCUCAAGCCAGAUGGUUUCUUAUGAAUUCAUCUUGGUUUGGAUUUGGACUUUGCUGUGACUCUUGAAGGCAUAGCUGGUCUUAAAUAGAGUAGCUGGCCCAUUUGAAGGCUUGGUUCUACUUGGCGUGAUAAUUAUCUGGCGUCAAGGACAUUCUCUAGGGAGUGGCCAAUCUUUGUCUGGACUGCUUCUAACUGU
rnacentral:rRNA from 1 species